UCCCCAGUGGUCCAGGGGUCAAGACUCCGCACUUCCACUGCAGGGGGCCUGGGUUCGAUCCCUAGCUGGGGAA